AAAAAAAGAGAGAGCGGCAUUUGGAUUAACAGGUUUGAGAAGGCAAGGAGGAGAACAGGAGAGAAAGAAAGCAGGGAGAAAGCUGGAUGUGGGGCAGGGAGCUGAGGGAAGCUCAGAGAGGAGGGACCUCCCCGGGAAAAUGAAGCUUGUACAAGCUCCAAGAGGAAGCAGACAGAGAAGCAAGCAGGCAGGUUAGUUCUAGCAGAGCUUCUCUUUCUUGAAUGGGGGCUUCUCUGUGGCUGGGAUGCCAAGCCUGGCCUGUGAGCUGCCUCACAAAGCUCUUGGAAUGGCACCUGAAAAUUCCUGCUCCCCCAUUGCCCAAGCCCAAGACACAGCUAAUGACCCAUGGACCUAAACCCAUUUUUCUAGUCCAUUUUUUUAAAUCCUUCAGUCCCCAUCCUGUCUGAUGAAGACAAAGAGGAUUUCUUCCUGGGCCCCUUGGUUAUUGCUGAGAAUCUUUUCCUGAUGCUUCUGAUGAGAAAGAUCGAAGAAACAUGAUGUACUUUCUGAUCCCCACUGUUCAGAACCUGGAAUAGGUGAAGGAAAGUAGGGGAAUGUCCCUAUUUGAGGAUGUCAAGAUACUAUUAGGAGACACUCUGUUUUCUCAAGCUAGAAACCAGCAAGCAGGUUGUGCUGAGCUUAGCCCAACAAGAAUCUUUGUGCUCACCCUCUGGGUGAUCUCACCAUCUGGCAAAAGUCACAUAAUCAUUUAGUUGCAUUGACCAACACAAGGUGCUCCCUAAGCUUGUACAAGUACUGGACAAUCUUGGACUUGUUUCUGUGUUCCAUCAGGAAGCCCUUCUAUGAAUCAAAUGUGUUUCAUUGUAGCUGUUACCCUUCGUUUUCAGAGCUAUGCUCACUGUGUAGCCAUUGGUGUAAGUAGAGAUCUCCCCAUACUGCCUCUCAUCUUUCCCUGAGGGAUGGGCCCCAGGACAAGUGUCCGACUGCCCUUCUAGCUGGCAAGAUUUUCUUCACUCUGAAAUUAAACUUCUUUUUUAUUCUUCACUCUACCAUAUCUAGCCUGUUGUGUUCAACUCUGACCAUACAAGACUUAGAUGAACUGAUGCUAAGUGAAAUGAGCAGAAUCAGGAGAUCAUUAUAUACCUCAACAGCGAUACUAUUUGAGGAUGUAUUCUGAUGGAAGUGGAUCUCUUCGAUAAAGAGAGUUAAUUCAGUUUCAAUUGAUCAAAGAUGGACAGCUUCAGCUACACCCAAAGUUACACUCGGAAAUGAAUAUAAACUGCUUGCAUUUGUGUUUUUCUUCCCGGGUUAUUUCUACCUUCUGAAUUCAAUUCUCCCUGUGCAACAAGAAAACUGUUCGGUUCUGCACAUAUAUAUUGUUUCUAGGAUAUACUGUAACCUAUUCAACAUGUAAAGGACUGCUUGCCAUCUGGGGGAGGGGGUGGAGAGAGGGAGGGGAAAAAUCGGAACAGAAGUGAGUGCACGGGAUAAUGCUGUAAAAAAAUACCCUGGCAUGGUUUCUGUCAAUAAAAAGUUAUCAACUCUGACCAUAUAGAGAUUCACUCCAGUUGACAUUAAUUAGUGUCAGAAGUGGGAUUAUAUAUUUUAUACUGUGUAAUCUUAAAUAAGCUACAUUAUCUUUGCCCCAGUAAAGCAAAAAAUACUACUAAUGACAUCCACCUUCCAGUGAUGCAAGGAUUAAAAUAAUAGUUGUAAAAUGCUUCCAAAUUGGGUUUUUAAAGGGUUAUGGUUUUUUAAAAAAAAGAUCUUUGAAAACUGUUAAAUAUUUAAUGAGGUAUAUUUUGUUGUAAAGCUGUAAUAAUAAAUAAUAGCAAAAUUUCAUUUGAAAUUCUUGCCUAUUAUAAAAGUGUAUAGAGUAAUUUAAAGAUGUAGUUUUAACAUAUUCAUGAUGAGUCAAUUAUCAGGCAUUUGCUGUUAUGUUUGAAGUCCCAGAAUAGGGGUAGUUUAAAUUUAUAAGUAAAGAAUAAAUAAAAUGAUAAGUGGUAGGAAAACAUUCAAACCCUAAGUUAUGGUUAGUGAAAUUUUGCUAUUUAAGGUAAAAAUCCCUGGGAUUGUAGUUUACUAUUGUUUUGAACUUGAAGAGAAGGAACUUUGCAGCCCGUACUCCUCUGGGUAUUCUACAGAGAAAGAUAGUCCUUUAUGAUAUAAUGAUGCAAGAUGAUAUAACAUUAGGGAGAUGUCUUGAAUCAAACAGACCUAAGAAAGGUCCACUUCCUGCCUUUCCCUCUCUCACCUCAGUUAUGAUAUAUGAUAUUGUCCCUCUUUUUCCAUUUAUAGCCAAUUUCUAUAGUCAGGAAGUUUUGUAAGUAUAAUACAAAGGCUACUAAAUAACAGAUUGCUAUGAGAACGUCUCUGAGUUACAACAGGAGGAUACAAAUAUGAAUAUUUUACAAUUUUAACCUAUAUUUGUAGUCAAAUUCUAAUAUAGGGAUAACAUCCUCCAAAGGAGAAAAUGAUUAAGCAGAGUAAUAAGACAAAUAUAUAAUGUAAAAAGUUUACUAUUGUAUUUAUAUACCAAACUUUUUACAUUACAUCUGCCUUUAAAACAUCUCUCAAAUCUAGUUUACAACCUCAUCACCUAUUCUCUAUAAAUACAAUAAACUUUUAAUGGAGUUUCUUGCCUCCAAGUACUCCCCUCUCCAGUCCAUCCUCUCCAAAGCUUGUAAAGUUAUCUUCCUAAGGCACAAGACUGACUCUGGUGUUAUCCUCCCUGUACACCUACCUGCAAUAACUUCCUACUAAGGUUGAAAGGGACCUCCAGAGGUCAAAUAGUCCUCAGAGGUCAACUACUCCAACUGCCUCAUUUUAUAGCUAAAGAAACUCAGAUUCAUUCAGGUUAAGUGACCCAAAUCACACAAAUGAUAAAUGACAAAUGUAGGAUUUGAACUCGGGUCAAAUUGAACUCUAAGGACAGUGCUACAAGAUCAGCAUUCUUUUGAUUAUAUAUUGCAGCCUCAAGGACCUCCUAUCGCCACUAGAGUAAGACACACAUUCUUCAGCCUGUCAUUAAAAGCUCUCCCCAGCCUUCCAAUCUUAUUUCGUAUCACUUUCCUUCCAAACUGGCCUACUUGCUAUUUUCCAAACUUAACAGCAAAUUUCCCAUCUCCAGGCUUUUGCCUCCCUCCUCACCUUUCCCUCUUAGAAUCUGUAGCUUCUUUCAUCAUAUUGUCUUUAUUAUUUUUUUUUAUCUUCCAAUAGAAUGUAAGUUUCGGGAGGUCAGUC